rnacentral:rRNA from 1 species
CCUACGUGUGGCAGCAGUGGGGAAUAUUGCACAAUGGGGGAAACCCUGAUGCAGCAACGCCGCGUGAGUGAUGACGGCCUUCGGGUUGUAAAGCUCUGUCUUCAGGGACGAUAAUGUCGCUACCUGCGGAGGAAGCCACGGCUCACUACGUGCCCGCAGCCGCGGUAAUCCGUAGGUGGGGAGCGUUGUCCGGGUUUACUGGGCGUAACGGGAGCGUAGGCGUACUUUUAAGUGAGAGGUGAAAUACUCGGGCUCAACUUGAGUGCUGCAUUUCAAACUGGAAGUCUAGAGUGCAGGAGAGGAGAAGGGAAUUCCGAGUGUAGCGGUGAAAUGCGUAGAGAUUAGGAAGAACUCCAGUGGCUAAGGCGAUUCUCGGGACUGUAACUGACGCUGAGGCUCGAAAGCGUGGGGAGCAAACAGGAUUAGAUACCCCGGGAGUC